rnacentral:rRNA from 1 species
GAUCCUGGCUCAGGAUGAACGCUAGCUACAGGCUUAACACAUGCAAGUCGAGGGGCAGCAUGAACUUAGCUUGCUAAGUUUGAUGGCGACCGGCGCACGGGUGAGUAACACGUAUCCAACCUGCCGAUGACUCGGGGAUAGCCUUUCGAAAGAAAGAUUAAUACCCGAUGGCAUAAUUCUUCCGCGUGGUAGAACUAUUAAAGAAUUUCGGUCAUCGAUGGGGAUGCGUUCCAUUAGGUUGUUGGG